rnacentral:tRNA from 1 species
GUGGCUCAGUGGUAGAGCACUUGCUUUGCAUGCAUGAGGUCCUGGGUUCGAUUCCUCAGC